AUUGAACGCUGGCGGCAGGCCUAACACAUGCAAGUCGAGCGAGCGGCGGACGGUUGAGUACUGUCUGGGAAACUGCCUGUUGGAGGGGGAUAACUACUGGAAAAGGUUGCUAAUACCGCAUACCAUCGGAUUUGCCCAGAUGGCAUUAGCUAGUGGGUGGGGUAACGGCCCACCUAGGCGACGAUCCCUAGCUGGUCUGAGAGGAUGACCGGCCACACUGGAACUGAGACACGGUCCAGACUCCUACGGGAGGCAGCAGUGGGGAAUAUUGCACAAUGGGCGCAAGCCUGAUGCAGCCAUGCCGCGUGUAUGAAGAAGGCCUUCGGGUUGUAAAGUACUUUCAGCGGGGAGGCGUUACCCGCAGAAGAAGCACCGGCUAACUCCGUGCCAGCCGCCGCGGUAAUAC
rnacentral:rRNA from 1 species